UACGAAGGGUGCAAGCGUUAAUCGGAAUUACUGGGCGUAAAGGGCGCGUAGGCGGUUUGUUAAGUCUGUCGUGAAAUCCCCGGGCUCAACCUGGGAAUGGCGUUGGAUACUGGCGGGCUAGAGUGUGGCAGAGGAUGGUGGAAUUCCCGGUGUAGCGGUGAAAUGCGUAGAGAUCGGGAGGAACAUCAGUGGCGAAGGCGGCCAUCUGGGACAACACUGACGCUGAAGCGCGAAAGCGUGGGGAGCGAACAGG
rnacentral:rRNA from 1 species